rnacentral:rRNA from 1 species
AACCUGCCCAAGAGAUCGGGAUAACACCUGGAAACAGAUGCUAAUACCGGAUAACAANAGAUGAUGCCUAUCAACUGUUUAAAAGAUGGUUCUGCUAUCACUCUUGGAUGGACCUGCGGUGCAUUAGCUAGUUGGUAGGGUAACGGCCUACCAAGGCGAUGAUGCAUAGCCGAGUUGAGAGACUGAUCGGCCACAUUGGGACUGAGACACGGCCCAAACUCCUACGGGAGGCAGCAGU